AGGGAGGCGGAACUGCUGCAUCCGGGUACUCGGGAGCCUAUGCUGCGUGGUGAGGAGGGUUAUGUUCUCUUCAUUGAAAGCAGUAAGAGUUUAAGAAAGAUGGAGACAGACAAUGGGAGACACCCACAGUUGACCCAAAAUCUGAGAAGUCAGAAUGACGUCCGAGAAGUCAGUUCCGAGGCUUGGUGUUGGGGAUUAAACAACUGUGACAUUUAUUUCCAGGAUUUGUAAAUAGGAUACAUCCAAACAUACUUACGGUUAAUAAAGCAUGACAAUUGCCUUAAAAUAACUUUUCAUUGAAUAAACUAAUCACAUCUGUAAAUAGAGUCAUUCUAUGAGCUUCUUUGCAAGUCAAAAGAGUGGCAGUUUUACAAAAGUUACUUUCUUUGGAGGGAGAUACAAAUUCACUUUUCCCUUGUUCAUCUUCACCCCACAUUCCCAAACAGGCAAAGAAAUGGAGAGAAUAAAAACCUUAUUACAGAAUCUGCACCCACCCACGCGAUCUGCCUUGGCACUGUCCACAGUAUCAUAAACCUCUCCAAGGCAGCAUCACGAUGGAAAUCAUUCUUAAGGAAAUGUUUAGAAACAUUUUUCUAAAUGGCGUCACAAGUAAACUGAGAAGACACUGCCCAUCUGCCAGGAACUUUUGCUGAAAGUUGUCAUGAAGCUGUGUGAGUGGAUGGAAAAAUUAAAUGAGUUUCAGAUUUGACAAGUGUAAAAAGGAUGUGUUCGGGGAAAUAAUGUGAAACCUUACAUAUAAGAUGAUGGCCUCUUAAGCUUUUGGUUAUUGAAAAGGACAGGGGUGUAGGAGUCUCUGUAAACGAUUCAAAAUAUCAGUCAAAUGUGUGCCCAAAAUAAGGGGACCAGAAAAAUCCUAGAUGUUAACAGUAAGAAUAUUGGAAACACAAUGGAAAGCAUUACCUUGCCCUUGAGCAUAAUAUUGGUAUAUUGGUAUCUAGAAUAUGUGUAGUCUACCUGAGUUAAAGUCUGCAAAGAAUGUCAGUGUUUCUUUAUUUUUCUAAGCAAUAUAGUCUUUUCUGAUCAUUUAUCCCCUCACUUGAUUCAAAAUCCAGUUUUGGUUAUCAGUAAAGCAUCUUGCAGAGACUUUGUAGGCUAAUGCAGGCAGAAAUGACAUCUCUUGACAAUAGCACAUCUUGCCAUCCAAGAAUGUGACACUUUAAUACAUGUAUUUAAAAAUUUUUAGGUCCUUCACUGUGGUAGGCAGAUGAAUAGCCCCCAAAGAUGUCCACACCCUGAUUCCCAGAACUUGUGAAUUGGUUACCUCACAAAAGGAUUUUUGCAGAUGUGAUUAAAACUAAGGACCUGGUGAUGACGUUAUCCUGAAUUACAUACAGGGCUGGGUGAAGUCAGCCCAAUCCAAUCACAGGAAAGAUUCAAAGCCUGAGGAUGCCACACCCUUUUGCUGCAUCUGAAAUGUUGAGGGCUAUCUGCAAGGUCCUGAGAAGCCUCUAGGAGCUAAGGUCGGCUCCUAGCUGACUGUCACCAAGGUAACAGAGGUCUCAGUCCCACAACCUCAUGGAAUUGAAUUCUGCCAACACCUGAAUGAGCAGGGUGUUGGAGAUUUUCCCCUGGUCUCCAAAAGAAACAUAGCCCUGCUGACAUCUUGACUUUUGCCCGGUGAGACUUCUCACCUCCAGAACUGUAAGAUAAUAAACUUGGUUUGAUCUAAGCCACUGAGCCUGUGGUUAUUUGUUACUGAAGCAGUAGAAAACUAAUACUUCCACUGAAAUUUUAUAGCUUUUUUCAUCCACGUCUGGCUCUUGUCUUGCUAGGUGUAUUCUGAAAUAUUUUAAUGGUAUUGCAGAUUGUGAAUAGGAUCCCUUUUUUACAGGUUCAUUUUGUUUCAUGUACAUAACCCCUAACCAAAUUUUUACACCCAAUGUGAAAGAUUUUUUUUCACUUGAUAGGUAAAUUCAACUCAUUUACACUUAUUAGAGUAGCUGCAAUAUGACCUUAUCACUUCAGUAGUGUAUCUUAUUUAUUUUACUUGGCUUUUUUUUUUCUCACUUUUUCCCAUUUUAUUUUGCCAGCCUGAUCAAAUUUGUUCUUUUUCCUCCCUCCCACUAUUCAUUUAGAGGUUCUGCAAUGCUUUACCAUGCCAUUACUGGUUUCCUGGCUACCUUUUUUUUUUUUUUUUAAUCUCUACCAAACAUUUAAACCUGUUUCCUCCUCCCCUCCUGUCUCCUUCCACGAAUAUUUAUAGAAUGUUUAUUGUAUUAGAUGCUAUUAGGUUAAGAAAAAUUUAGUGGCUCUUUCUCCUACUAAAAUUAAAUUUUUUUCAUUAUUUAAAAAAAUUUUGUUUUUAAUGUGUAUUUACUUUUGUGAGAGAGAGAUUACCAGCUGGGAGGGGCAGAGAGAGAAGGAGACACAGAAUCUGAAGCAGGCUCCAGGCUCUCAGCUGUCAGCACAGACACGACACGGGGCUUGAAGUCACAACGUGAGAUCAUGACCUGAGCCACAGUCGGACGCUUGACCAAUCAUGUGGUAUCCAGUUUUUCCACCACUGAAAACUACGCCUUGGAACCAAUGUUGGAUUCUGAAAACAGCGGUGGUAGCAGAGCUCCUCUGAAUGCUCCUACUCCAUGCUUUUAAGGUCAACAGAGCUAUGUUCAGGAUACAGCCUGGAGCAGCUGAUUGCAAUGAAGACCCCAGCCCUAUCCGAGGAGUCACUUCCAAGAUACAUGACAUCGUAGCUCAGGUGUAAACUCAGCUCUCUCCGACCAAGAGGAUCAGAGGAGCUUUCAACCAAGGAGGCUCAUCUAAAGAGUGAGCUGCAAAGAGGAAAAAGUGCAGAGUGAUUGUGACACAGAAGAAGACCUAUCCAUUGACCUUACAUCACAGACGAGUUGACAUCAGACAUCUCUGUUGCUAGAGCUGCUGUAGAAUGGUUGCAAAUAGUCACCAGUGCAGCAUUCAAGGUAAGUAACAUGAAGAUCAAUAAACUCCAGUCUGAUGUGACAUUCCUGUCUUCUAGUAUGUCCCAAGGAACUCCUGCCAUUGGUUCAGCCAUCACCCAUGUGGGCUCAUGCCUCCACUGCCUACAAUUACUGAGCCGCGCUAUGGCUGAGCUGUUACUCCUACAGCUCCUCCUGAUGACAUGUCUCAGGUUGGUAGCUCUGGCCUGGAAAUAUCACACUUAUAAUGCCAUUUAAGAGGCACCCCUCAAUAUAUCCAGCUUAUAUCUGUUUCCUGCCAUGAAGACUUACCACAUGAGGAUGUUAUCUGUGACAUCACCACAGAAGCUUCUGCCUCUGUCCCCAUGGCAGCCGCCCUAGAGAGGUGUUAGGGAUUCUGUACUGUCAUUUGGCUUUGAAGAAGCCAGGAAAGCAAGUGAACAGCACACAGAUCCAGAUGUGUAUCUGCCAAUAUCAUUCCCAAUAACCCACAAAGGUGCAAUUACUGGUGGUGUUAUUACACUAUAAGGACUGAUGGGUGCCCCUGCCUAGCUAACGAUGUAACAUUUGUGUCCCUGCCUAAUGGCCGCCUAUAUCACUCGUUUGAGAGUUACUCCAUUCCACACAACAAUAUAACUCUUCAGUGCACACCUUGCUCACCAGGGUGCUGCUACUUAAUCAGACAAGCUGUCUCAGCCAUCCUCCCCUGAAUGUCAGAGGAACCAUAAUUAACCAUAUGUGGAUUAUGUUACAUGACCUUCACAAGGAAUUUGACUUCAAUAAUGGUACAUCAUGGGAGGCAAAUUAACUGGAGAAUGUCAACUGGUCCAGAAUGGAAAGAGGCAAAGUACUGCACAAGGCUACACUAUCCAUGCUGUAAAAGACUUCGGUUGCAAAGGUUACAUAUCACGCAAUCUACUGUAUGCCUGCUCCCCCAAGUCCUUUCACAGCCUUUACGUGACCAUGCUCGAUUUUUGCGACCUUGGCUCAACAACCAAUCCCAGCUACUGUCUCAGGAGACUCAGCACUUGUCUGGCCCUGUGUAAAGAUGAACUAUUCUGUCUUCAACCCAACAACAACUGACCUUUACUUCAAGGUACAAUGCAGUGAAGCCAUGAUGCUUUACCAGUGGAACAGGAUCUUUUACAGCGCUUUGCCUUCCAGAGACAAAGGAUGACACAUAUCAAGCAGUCUGGCCAAUAAAACACAUGUUCUUGGGGUAGUCACCCCAGCCAUUGCCCCGGUUUUCAACAACCAUUUCAUCAAAGCACAUUAAUGGUGCAGAGUCCAAUGCGGGGUUGAACUCAGGACCCUGAGAUCAAGACCUGAACUGAGAUGCUGAGAUCAAGAGUCAGAUGCUCAACUGACUGAGCCACCCAGUCGCCCCUCUAUUGUUUAAAACUGAAAUACGGUUUUAUUUUAUAGAUUUUUUUCCUCAUAAAGUACAUAAAAUAAUGAAUUUGAUGCCACUCCCCAAAACAUGGGGGGGGGUGUACCUUCCUUAUUAUCCUUCACAUUCUAAAGUGAUUAAUAUCUUCACUCAUGGUGAUUGAUUUCAGACUAGGUAGUGUAAACAACAGAAAUUUAUUUUCUUCCACAGCUUUGGAGGCUGGAAGUUCAAGUGCAAGGUGCUGGCAGGGCUAGUUUCUGGUGAGGCUCUCUUUCCUAGCUUGCAGAUGGUUAGCUUGUCACUGCGUGCUCACGUGGCAUUUUCUGUGAGCAUGUGUGCCCCGGGUGUCUCUUCCUCUUCUUAUAAGGACACCAAGUCCUAUUGGAUGGGGGCCCCACACAUGUGACCUCAUUGAACCUUAAUGACUCCUUUAAAGGCCUUAUCUUCAAAUAUUCAGGUUCGGGCUCCAACAUAUGAAUUGGGAGAGGGGGACACAAUUUAGUCCAUAACAGAUUUGGUAGAAAGAUAAUUUUAAUUUGUGGUUAUUGUCUUUGUAUAUAAACUUUCUCAGUAUUUCUCUGCCUUUCAAAUAUGCUAUCAUAAAGACUGAGAAAAUGUGAUUCCUUAUUUCCCACAUUGCCGUUCCAUCCCAGUUUAUUAUAAUAAAGAUAGGUCUAUUCAGUGCUCAGUGUAUUCCAGGAACUGCCCCAGAUUCUGGGACAUAUCCAUGAAAGAACCAAUGCCCCUGUUCUUAGCUCAUAAUGUGAUCAGACCUUUAGAAAUUCAGAAAAUUGCUACCUUCAAAGACAUCUAGCAGUUCAGGAGUCCCAGAUUGUGAACUUUUUAAAUUAAUUUUUUAAUGUUUAUUU